AGCAGCCGCGGUAAUUCCAGCUCCAAUAGCGUAUAUUAAAGUUGUUGCAGUUAAAAAGCUCGUAGUUGAAUUUCGAGAUCAAAUUGUUGGUCGUGCCUUGGUACGCACUGGCAUUAUUGGUUUCUCCCUUCUGACGAACCAUGAUGUCAUUAAUUUGGUGUCUUGGGGAAUCAGGACUGUUACUUUGAAAAAAUUAGAGUGUUUAAAGCAGGCUCACGCUUGAAUACAUUAGCAUGGAAUAAUGAAAUAGGACGUUUGAUUCUAUUUUGUUGGUUUCUAGGAUCGACGUAAUGAUUAAUAGGGAUAGUUGGGGGGCAUUAGUAUUCAAUUGUCAGAGGUGAAAUUCUUGGAUUUAUUGAAGACUAACUACUGCGAAAGCAUUUGCCAAGGAUGUUUUCAUUAAUCAAGAACGAAAGUUAGGGGAUCGAAGACGAUCAGAUACCGUCGUAGUCUUAACCAUAAACUAUGCCGACUAGGGAUCGGAUGAUGUAAUUUUUUAAUGACUCAUUCGGCGCCUUAC
rnacentral:misc_RNA from 1 species